rnacentral:rRNA from 1 species
GAUGAACGCUGGCGGCGUGCCUAAUACAUGCAAGUCGAGCGAACAGAUGAGGAGCUUGCUCCUCUGACGUUAGCGGCGGACGGGUGAGUAACACGUGGAUAACCUACCUAUAAGACUGGGAUAACUUCGGGAAACCGGAGCUAAUACCGGAUAAUAUAUUGAACCGCAUGGUUCAAUAGUGAAAGACGGUUUUGCUGUCACUUAUAGAUGGAUCCGCACCGCAUUAGCUAGUUGGUAAGGUAACGGCUUACCAAGGCAACGAUGCGUAGCCGACCUGAGAGGGUGAUCGGCCACACUGGAACUGAGACACGGUCCAGACUCCUACGGGAGGCAGCAGUAGGGAAUCUUCCGCAAUGGGCGAAAGCUUGACGGAGCAACGCCGCGUGAGUGAUGAAGGUCUUCGGAUCGUAAAACUCUGUUAUUAGGGAAGAACAAAUGUGUAAGUAACUAUGCACGUCUUGACGGUACCUAAUCAGAAAGCCACGGCUAACUACGUG